GCCGGUUGGAAUCACGCCGGCUGAAAUCAAUGGAUCCUGGAAGUUUUCCUCAAAUAUUUUGUUCCUGUUCAAGGGUUUACUGGAAAGCCUAUUG